UCCCUGGUGGCGGAAUGGAUAAAACUCUGCACUACCAAUGCAGGGGGCCCAGGUUCGAACCCUGGUCAGGGAA